rnacentral:lncRNA from 1 species
UCUGGGUAAAAAUAAAAAGGAAUCUGAAAUUUAGUUUCUACUUUAUUUUGAGAUUUGUAUUUGGUGUUUUAGUUUCUUUAUUAGAUAGAAGAAAGAGGCAUCUGAAAAUGGGAAAAGAAAUAAGAGGGUGUUACCUACCGGAGCAUUAAAGGCGUAGAGAAAGGGACAGGGUUCAAUGUUGAAACCCAAACGAGUUCACCUGCCUUCAUUAAACCACUUUGAAUUCACUUUAAUGCACACUUCAACAGUGACCAACUUCAAACAACCAUGCUUUCUUUCUUCCUCACUCAUCCUCCUCUCCUCCACCAGGAAACCUUUCCUCUGUUAAAUGUUCCCAACCCACCUUCCCUUCCCUUCAUUUAUGUCUUCCUUCUCUCUCUCUCUCUCUUUCAAUCACUUCUUGCAUUUUAUAAACUGUCAGAAAUUACUUCAGAAUCUACUCAUCCACACUCCUUUGCACUCCUCCUAUCUACCAGUGUACCACAUUUCAGAAACAAGCACUUAAUUCAUCAAACUGCGUUGCAUGCAACAAAUAUAUUUAUGUAUCUGAAUAUUCAAACUCAAUGUGAGAGGAUAGGGCAUG